GACGAACGCUGGCGGCGUGCCUAAUACAUGCAAGUAGAACGCUGAAGGAGGAGCUUGCUUCUCUGGAUGAGUUGCGAACGGGUGAGUAACGCGUAGGUAACCUGCCUGGCAGCGGGGGAUAACUAUUGGAAACGAUAGCUAAUACCGCAUAAGAGUAGAUGUCGCAUGACAUUUGCGUAAAAGGUGCAAUUGCAUCACUACCAGAUGGACCUGCGUUGUAUUAGCUAGUUGGUGAGGUAACGGCUCACCAAGGCAACGAUACAUAGCCGACCUGAGAGGGGGCUCGGCCUCGCUGGGCCUGGGACACGGCCCAGACUACUGCGGGAGGCAGCAGUAGCGAAUCUUCGGCGAUGGCCGGAAGUCUGACCGAGCCACGCCGCGUGAGUGCAGAAGGUUUUCGGAUCGUAAAGCUCUGUUGUAAGAGAAGAACGAGUGUGAGUGUGGAAAGUUCACACUGUGACGGUAUCUUACCAGAAAGGGCCGGCUAACUACGUG
rnacentral:rRNA from 1 species